rnacentral:lncRNA from 1 species
GCAGUGGCAUGUCAAUCAGGAUUGCUGUAUCUGCUUGAACAUCUGUCAGGUUACACUGUCUGAAGAGAAAACCACUGAGGAAUAUAAUACAAGAUCAAAGCUCUGCUCCAGAAAACCGGGUUGGUUGGAGGUUAAGGUUUCCUGAAUUUAGCCCGCCCCUCACUGGUAGGUUCUAAGAACAGAAGUUCGUCAGCUUCAG